AGAGGGGAAGGGGGGGGGGGGGGGGGGGCUUUUCCCUUUUAUUGAAAAAUCCCAAUCAUGUCCUUCACCGGAGCUCCGCCACCACCCGGCGUGACCGCUGCAACAACCACUACACCGAAACAAUACUUCUGUUACCAAUGCAACCUUUCAGUCUCGAUAACUGUCUCUCCCUCCGAUGACCCGUUUUGCCCAAUUUGCCGCGAUAGCUUCAUGGAAGAACUCGAGGCCCAAAACCCUCAAAACCCGAAUCCAUUAUCCGAAUCGGUUUUAAACGACACUUUUGACCCCUUCUCUUCUCUUUUUCCUCCCCUCUUUCAAAUCUCUGGCAAUUUCUCUCAUCCUGAAUUUCAAAUCCGACCCGAAUUAUCUGACCAGAAUGCGUUUAACCCAUUUGAUUUCCUACGUUCUCACCUCCAAAACCUCCAUUCUGGUGGUGCUCGGGUCCAGUUCGUGAUUGAGAACAAUGGGGGCGAACAGGGAGGACUUCGAUUCCCAGGUGGUAAUUUUGGUGAUUAUUUUAUUGGGUCGGGUUUGGAGCAACUGAUCCAACAGUUGGCUGAAAAUGAUCCGAAUAGGUAUGGGACACCACCCGCGUCGAAGACGGCGAUUGAGGCGUUGCCCACGAUGAAAGUUACCGAGGAGAUGAUGAAAUCAGAGAUGAAUAAUCAAUGUGCUGUGUGUAAAGAUGAGUUUGAGAGUGGAGAAGAAGUCAAGGGAAUGCCUUGUAAACAUGUGUUUCAUGAGGAUUGUAUAAUGCCUUGGUUGAAGAUGCAUAAUUCAUGUCCUGUUUGUCGAUAUGAGUUGCCUACUGAUGAUCCUGAUUAUGAGAAUAGAGCCACUGGAGGGCAAGGGAGUGGUGGUGGUAGUGGUGGAGGUGGGUUUACUAUUUCGAUUCCUUGGGCAUUUGGUGGAGGUGGACAAAGCAGUUCUUGAAAGAUUGGAUUUUGGAUUGGAGACUUUUGUGUUGUUAGAGGAGUAGUUUUGUGGAGUUAGAAUGAAUAGACCGGAUAUCAAGGAAUUUGGCUCUUGGUGAGUGUUGGUGUGGAAAGAAUUUCAAUCCGAAAAGGAUUCUCUUCAGGUGAGUAUGGAAGCUGGAAACUGGAAAGCAAGUUCCUGUGUGUAGAAAUGAUUGAAUGUAUUUAAGAUUUUCUUAUAUAUUUACAUUUUGCAAGUUACUGAACAUAAUAUAUUCAAAGUUGUUUUUCUAUGUUGUA